UCCCGACCGCGGACGAGAGCCGAAAGAAGACAAAGAAACGAAAGCGAGGUCGACGCUGAGCGACAGGGGAAAUUGCCGGCCACAAGCAAAAGGGGGGAGGAGGAAAAGUUCGAGCAAGGACCAGGAGGAGAUCAGAGAUGGUACGUCCCUGGAAUCGAUCUCCCGAGGCAUAUGGUCUCCUAAUUAAGACUCUAUGAAUUGGUCAGUGUCAUCUGAAGGUUAACUGAUUGAGAUCAUGGGAAUUUCUGCAAAAUGGUUUAGAUCAUUGGUUGGCAUAAGGAAGCAAGAAAAGUUUCACCAUCCAGAAAAUGAUGAAAAUGUGCUGCAUGGACCAGAAAAUUACUGCAAACAACAGGAAGUAUCCCUCCAAAUUAACUUCCCCAGAAAUAUUACAUCCGACCUGAAGAAACCAAGGCUAGUGGUCAUCACGUUGUUCACACGAGUGGUGGAUCCAUCGAUGCCCGUGAUUCUUAUCCCAACUCUCAUUUCUUCUCAGAAGAAGCUGCAAGAUAGAAAUGAUUAGACCUUUUUGGGGAUCAAACGUCCAAGCUCAUCCGUCUGGCAGCUUCCAAAGUGUCUUGGAUGUGGAUCUGUGCUUGAUGUUUCCCUGUCAAGUCUUGAUCUGUUCUCAGACACCGAAGGAUGAGUGUUGCAGAUGAGCAAGGAUCUCAUGCUGUUCAUUCUCGUCACUUCUCAGUGCAAUUAUUCCAUGGGGUCUCUCUCCACAGUGGCUUUUCCGAAUCAGUAGUGAGCUGCAGCAUCACCUGGAAAUGGAAAACUCCUGCAAUGUUUUGAAGAAGUAUUAUAUAUUGGAGUUUUCUCCAUGUCAUGACCAGAAACUUGCUCUCAAGUUUCACCGACUGUAAACACUUACAGAAAUGACUCAAUCAUGUCACCCAAACCCUAAACUUCUACCUUUUGGUUGAAGCAGUUGCUGCUGUGUAAUUGUGUUAGUAUAUUCCACAAAGACAAAUGACAAACGAAAUGAUCAUGAUCUCAAAUCCAUGCCUGA